rnacentral:rRNA from 1 species
CCUACGGGUGGCAGCAGUGGGGAAUAUUGGACAAUGGGGGGAACCCUGAUCCAGUCAUGCCGCGUGUGUGAAGAAGGCCCUCGGGUUGUAAAGCACUUUCAGUGAGGAAGAACGCCUGGUGGUUAAUACCCAUCAGGAAAGACAUCACUCACAGAAGAAGCACCGGCUAACUCCGUGCCAGCAGCCGCGGUAAUACGGAGGGUGCGAGCGUUAAUCGGAAUUACUGGGCGUAAAGCGCGCGUAGGUGGCUUGAUAAGCCGGUUGUGAAAGCCCCGGGCUCAACCUGGGAACGGCAUCCGGAACUGUCAAGCUAGAGUGCAGGAGAGGAAGGUAGAAUUCCCGGUGUAGCGGUGAAAUGCGUAGAGAUCGGGAGGAAUACCAGUGGCGAAGGCGGCCUUCUGGACUGACACUGACACUGAGGUGCGAAAGCGUGGGUAGCAAACAGGAUUAGAUACCCCUGUAGUC